UCAGCUCCACGAAGAAGACAGGGAGCGGGCUAUCCCGUCCUCCACUCUUUUCCCAUAGGCCUGGUAGUAGGUAGUAGUGUCAGCUCCACGAUGAAGACAGGGAGCGGGCUAUCCCGUCCUCCACUCUUUUCCCAUAGGCCUGGUAGUAGGUAGUAGUGUCAGCUCCACGAUGAAGACAGGGAGCGGGCUAUCCCGUCCUCCACUCUUUUCCCAUAGGCCUGGUAGUAGGUAGUAGUGUCAGCU